rnacentral:lncRNA from 13 species
UCUAGGGUGCUUCAUUUUAGCAUUCUUCUGUGGUGAACAUUACCUGCCACUCACGCUGGUUCCCACGUGCCAAGCUAAUUUCAACAACGGAUGAAGUGGGUACCUCCAUGUGAUGGCUGAGGAAACAGGUUCUGGGUGUUGCAACUGAGCUUCAUGGAGGCAGCCAUGACAGAGCAGAGCCUUCCAUCCUUCUGUCCAGGUCGGCAGCCUCUCCCAAAGCAGGACUCCAUGGGCCAGGCUCUUUCCACCCCCACCCUGCUUCUUCAGGCCAAUUCUUACAUGAGAGAACUCCUCUUAUUGGGGGCUACCUUCCACACCAGACUCUCCAGAGUACAUCUUUACAGCUCUAUAAUCUUCUGGCAUUUAUUUACAUUGUCUAAUAAUUUCCCGGAAAUACACUUAGUAUUUUUAGUUAUAAGAAGAAUUGAAAAACAAUAUUGCUAUUCUAGAAGAAGUGCAUUUAUUUAUUUUGCAUUUGCAGUUCACCCAGAGGCUGGCUGUGCAGACAAAUGCUUGGGAAGGACAGGGCUCUCUAAAGUGAUUCUAGGUAUGCAGCUGUCUACAAGUCAUACUGAAAAUACAAGAUUGCUUAUGAAGCAAUGAGAAAGCCUUGUCAUAAGUUGAAGUUGUAAUUUUGUGUGUGUAUUUAAAAUAUAUUUAGUCACACACACUCUUUAUUGCCUGACGUCCAGGCUUAACUGAGAGUGAACUAUCACUUCUCUGUUAUAACAAACUGAAACCUCAUCAUCUACACUCAGUGGCAGCACAUCACCUGAUGCCACCGUCUGACACGAGGCUGCAAGUCAUAGGUUGCAGUCAAGCACAUAGCCCCCUUUGCAGAAGGCAUUCUCAAUAGCUUCCACUAGAGGCACGUGUGAGCACUUUUGCUAGAAAGCUUUGGUUGGCUCGCCUUCCAGAGCAGAAAAAACUGGAAAUGGCCUAAAUCCAAAAGUUACAGGAAAGUAAAUACAAAUAAUGAAUGAUCACUAUUAAUCAGAGACAUGCAAAAUGGGAAAGAGAAAACCCUAUCAAAUUAGCAAAUUCCAUGAGGAUGAUGAACAUGAUGGUAGGAAAUCAUAUCACUGCCUGUGGAACUGUAAAGUCACACAAACCUUUCAGCAAACAAUUUGGCAAAACAGAGCUUGGAUCUUAGUGUCUGUUCCCUUGAAUCCAGUCACUCUAAGAUUCUAUCGUAUGGAAAUAACCAGAAAUAUGAGCACAUAUUUAUGUACAAAAUGUUUGUUGCAGCUAUUUUUUUUUUAAGAAGCAAAAAAAUAGAAACAUUCUAAAUGCUCAGGAUGAAAUAUAUUAUUCUUAUGAUGGAAUAUUUUGCAAUCAUUAAAACAAGGUCUGUGACCAAUUUUAAUAACUUGAGAAAAUCUUAAAGUUGAAAGAAAGGUUUGGAUAGAAAAUUACAUACAGUAUUUUCUCAAUAAUUUACUGUAAAUAAAAGGACUGGAAGAAAAUACA